CUCUCUGGGUGACGAGCGGCGGACGGGUGAGUAAUGUCUGGGAAACUGCCUGAUGGCGGGGGAUAACUAGUGGAAACGGUAGCUAAUACCGCAUAACGUCGCAAGACCAAAGUGGGGGACCUUCGGGCCUCACGCCAUCAGAUGUGCCCAGGUGGGAUUAGCUGGUAGGUGGGGUAACGGCUCACCUAGGCGACGAUCCCUAGCUGGUCUGAGAGGAUGACCAGCCACACUGGAACUGAGACACGGUCCAGACUCCUACGGGAGGCAGCAGUGG
rnacentral:rRNA from 1 species